rnacentral:rRNA from 1 species
UAGGGAAUCUUCGGCAAUGGACGAAAGCCUGACCGAGCAACGCCGCGUGAGUGAAGAAGGCUUUCGGAUCGUAAAACUCUGUUGUUAGAGAAGAACAAGGACGUUAGUAAAUGAACGUCCCCUGACGGUAUCUAACCAGAAAGCCACGGCUAACCACGUGGCAGCAGCCGCUGUAAUACGUCGGUGGCAAGCGUUGUCCGGAUUUAUUGGGCGUAAAGCGAGCGAAGGCGGAUUCUUAAGUCUGAUGUGAAAGCCCCCGGCUCAACCCCGGAGGUUCAUUUGAAACUGCGAGACUUGAGUUCGGAAGAGGAGAGUGGAAUUCCACGUGUAGCGGUGAAAUUCGUAGAUAUAUGGAGGAACACCAGUGGCGAAGGCGGCUCUCUGGUCUGUAACUGACGCUGAGGUUCGAAAGCGUGGGGAGCAAACAGG